rnacentral:rRNA from 1 species
GACGAACGCUGGCGGCGUGCUUAACACAUGCAAGUCGAACGAUGAACCCGGAGCUUGCUCUGGGGGAUUAGUGGCGAACGGGUGAGUAACACGUGAGUAACCUGCCCUGGACUCUGGGAUAAGCGUUGGAAACGACGUCUAAUACCGGAUAGGACCUUGGAUCGCAUGAUCUGGGGUGGAAAGUUUUUUCGGUCUGGGAUGGACUCGCGGCCUAUCAGCUUGUUGGUGAGGUAAUGGCUCACCAAGGCGUCGACGGGUAGCCGGCCUGAGAGGGUGACCGGCCACACUGGGACUGAGACACGGCCCAGACUCCUACGGGAGGCAGCAGUGGGGAAUAUUGCACAAUGGGCGAAAGCUUGAUGCAGCAACGCCGCGUGCGGGAUGACGGCCUUCGGGUUGUAAACCGCUUUUAGUAGGGAAGAAGGGCUUCGGCUUGACGGUACCUGCAGAAAAAGGACCGGCUAACUACGUG